GACGAACCGUGCGAACGUUGUUCGGAAUCACUGGGCUUAAAGGGCGCGUAGGCGGCCACAAAAGUCAGGGGUGAAAUCUUUCGGCUCAACCGGAAAAGUGCCUCUGAUACUGUGUGGCUCGAGGGAGGUAGGGGCGGACGGAACUUCCGGUGGAGCGGUGAAAUGCGUUGAUAUCGGAAGGAACGCCGGUGGCGAAAGCGGUCCGCUGGCCCUCUUCUGACGCUGAGAGACGAAAGCUAGGGGAGCGAAUGGG
rnacentral:rRNA from 1 species